UACGUAGGGGGCAAGCGUUGUCCGGAAUUAUUGGGCGUAAAGAGCGCGUAGGCGGUCCGAUAAGUCGGCUGUGAAAGUCACAGGCUCAACCUGUGAAUGCCGCUGGAAACUGUCUGGCUAGAGUCCGGAAGGGGCGAGUGGAAUUCCUGGUGUAGCGGUGAAAUGCACAGAUAUCAGGAGGAACACCAAUGGCGAAGGCAGCUCGCUGGAACGGUACUGACGCUGUGGCGCGAAAAGCGUGGGGGAGCAAACAGGG
rnacentral:rRNA from 1 species